rnacentral:rRNA from 1 species
UACGGGGGGGGCAAGCGUUGUUCGGAAUUACUGGGCGUAAAGGGCUCGUAGGCGGCCAACUAAGUCGGACGUGAAAUCCCCGGGCUCAACCCGGGAACUGCGUCCGAUACUGGCAGGCUUGAAUUCGGGAGAGGGAUGCGGAAUUCCAGGUGUAGCGGUGAAAUGCGUAGAUAUCUGGAGGAACACCGGUGGCGAAGGCGGCAUCCUGGACCGAGAUUGACGCUGAGGCGCGAAAGCCAGGGGAGCAAACGGG